UACAGAGGUCUCAAGCGUUGUUCGGAUUCAUUGGCGUAAAGGGUGCGUAGGUGGCGCCGUAAGUCGGGUGUGAAAUUUCGGAGCUUAACUCCGAAACUGCAUUCGAUACUGCGGUGCUUGAGGACUGGAGAGGAGACUGGAAUUCAUGGUGUAGCAGUGAAAUGCGUAGAGAUCAUGAGGAAGACCAGUGGCGAAGGCGGGUCUCUGGACAGCUUCUGACACUGAGGCACGAAGGCCAGGGGAGCAAACGGG
rnacentral:rRNA from 1 species